CCCUUAGAUGUUCUGGGCCGCACGCGCGCUACACUGAAUGGAUCAACGUGUUUUCCCUUCCCGAGAGGGACGGGUAACCCGCUGAACCCCAUUCGUGGUAGGGAUCGGAGCUUGCAAUUGUUCUCCGUGAACCAGGAAUUCCCAGUAAGCGCAAGUCAUAAGCUUGCGUUGAUUACGUCCCUGCCCUUUGUACACACCGCCCGUCGCUCCUACCGAUUGAAUGGUCCGGUGAAGCGCUCGGACCGCGGCCUCUUGACGGUUCGCUGUCGAUUGGCUGUGGGAAGUUCGUUAAACCUUAUCAUUUAGAGGAAGGAGAANUCGUANCA
rnacentral:rRNA from 1 species